UGGGCAGAGAUCUCUUUUAAAGAGACAUCGCCCAGCCAGCGGCUGUGUCAACAAGGAAUCGUGGCUUCGACUGGGAGAUUACUGGACCGGGCGGCGUGCUUUUAGGACCCCUGCGCCUUCCUCUUGUUCUGGGUUAGGUGGCUUUAUAGGAGUAACAAGCCGAGCGACAAGCCCCUGAACUCACGCCGCGACCAGCUGAGGGCAGCUGAACAGGCUCAAGCGCGGCUCUGUUUGGUCGGCUUGUAUGGGAAAAAACAAAACGCUGCAGAAUAAGCCGAAGGGUUCAUGGAAAGAUCCUUCGUCUGAGGAGAGGUUUUUAAAAAGAGAGCGGAUGUUGGGGAAGAGGUCGUCUGACAGACCUAAGGUCAGAAUGCAGAAAAGGGAGGAACAGUAGAAUCUCUUAAGAAAGUCGCCAGAAUGGAGAUAUCCGUCCUUCGGCUGAGAGAUGUCGUGGCAGGGUGAAAAAGCAGCCGUUUAAACAAGAAAGAGUGAAUAAUGUUAUACAUAUGUACAUACAUACUAAAAUCAUCUGGAUUGCAAACUUUCUAUGAAAAAAUGGGUUAACAACAGCAGCACCAGCAGCAAUGAAUGAAGAUCCCAAUCUUCUGUUUCCAUUCUGGCCAGUGGAAAGGUUAUGGGAAACCCACAAGCUGAACUUAAGCUCAAUAGCACCUUGUGUUCCCCAGUAAUUGGCAUUCAGAGUAUCAAACAGUAUCAAACAUGGUUCUUGAUGGCAUGCUAAACUAAGCAUCCCACUUAAUGUGUAAGAGCACUGUUGCCGCCAUCUUACCACCAGCCCCACAGAGCUGUUUAAAGUCCAUCAUUUGUUGGCUUCUAUUUCAGUCAGUUGGCUUCUAUUUCCAGUUAUAGAAAUGUGAAAGCAGGUUUAGUUGUGGGAACAAAUUCCAAUAGUUAACUAUGCAGCAUGUGUGUAUGAAACAGUAUUUCCUUUUGUCUGUCCUGUAUCUCCCAUUAUUAUUCUAGUAAUUUUGUAUAUGAGCGAGAACCCCCACAAGCACACCAUUUCCCUCACACUCCCUUAACUUCUAUCUAAUACAAGGCUGGCAACUGUUUGGAAGCCAAAAUGCACCUAUCACUUGAGGGACAGGUCCUGGGGGCCACUUCCAGAGCUCAACUCCAUGCUCUGCUUUGGCCACAAUGAUGGCCUGGUGUCCUCUGCAGACUGUGCUUACCAAGGACCCCAGCUGGUGAGAUUCUCCUGCUGCUUUACUCUUCCCAUCUAUGUUAAGAAAAUCAACACAGUAACUUUCCUUCCAUGGGUGAGUCUUUGGGGUUUCAAUUGAUAGACCUUUGGAAUAAGCCCCCUCCCCUUGAUUCCGUCCAUACUUGACACUCUCCUUGCAUCCACCAGUGGACCAGUAAAUAAGGAAAGGAAAAACUAGCUUUAUCACUCUUCCUGUCACUUGGGCUAGAGGGGGAAACUCUUAUCUAAUUUCACCUGAUUAAAAGGAAGAGACUUUAUCCACACUUUUGGAAAACCCAGACACUACCAACAAUACAAGAAUGGUUGUUAAAACUGAGAAAAUGAUAAACUGACUUGCUUAUU